rnacentral:rRNA from 1 species
AGCGAACGCUGGCGGCAGGCCUAACACAUGCAAGUCGAACGAACCCUUCGGAGUUAGUGGCGGACGGGUGAGUAACACGUGGGAACGUGCCUUUUGGUUCGGAAUAACUCAGGGAAACUUGUGCUAAUACCGAAUGUGCCCUUCGGGGGAAAGAUUUAUCGCCAUUAGAGCGGCCCGCGUCUGAUUAGCUAGUUGGUGAGGUAACGGCUCACCAAGGCGACGAUCAGUAGCUGGUCUGAGAGGAUGACCAGCCACACUGGGACUGAGACACGGCCCAGACUCCUACGGGAGGCAGCAGUGGGGAAUCUUGCGCAAUGGGCGAAGGCCUGACGCAGCCAUGCCGCGUGAAUGAUGAAGGUCUUAGGAUUGUAAAAUUCUUUCACCGGGGACGAUAAUGACGGUACCCGGAGAAGAAGCCCCGGCUAACUUCGUG